rnacentral:rRNA from 1 species
AGCAGCCGCGGUAAUUCCAGCUCCAAUAGCGUAUAUUAAAGUUGUUGCAGUUAAAAAGCUCGUAGUUGAAUUUCGGGAUCAGUACGCUGGUCGUGCCUUGGUAUGCACUGGUGUCACUGGUUCCUCCCUUCUGACGAACCGUCAUGCCAUUCACUUGGUGUGGCGGGAAAUCAGGACUGUUACUUUGAAAAAAUUAGAGUGUUUAAAGCAGGCUCACGCUUGAAUACAUUAGCAUGGAAUAAUGAAAUAGGACGUUGAUCUUAUUUUGUUGGUUUCUAGGAUUGACGUAAUGAUUAAUAGGGAUAGUUGGG